rnacentral:rRNA from 1 species
UACGUAGGGGGCUAGCGUUGUCCGGAAUUACUGGGCGUAAAGCGUACGUAGGCGGCUUUGUAAGUUAGAGGUGAAAGCCCGGGGCUCAACUCCGGAAUUGCCUUUAAGACUGCAUCGCUUGAAUCAUGGAGAGGUGAGUGGAAUUCCGAGUGUAGAGGUGAAAUUCGUAGAUAUUCGGAAGAACACCAGUGGCGAAGGCGACUCACUGGACAUGUAUUGACGCUGAGGUACGAAAGCGUGGGGAGCAAACAGG